GGUUGAUCCUGCCAGUAACAUAUGCUUGUCUCAAAGAUUAAGCCAUGCAUGUCUAAGUAUAAACAACUUUAUACUGUGAAACUGCGUACAGCUCAUUAAAUCAGUCAUUAUUUAUUUGAUGGUUUCUUACUACACAUGGAUACCCGUAGUAAUUCUAGAGCUAAUACAUGCAAAAAAUCCCGACUCACGAAGGGAUGUAUUUAUUAGAUAAAAAACCAAUGCACUUCGGUGGAUGUGGUGAUUCAUAAUAACUGAUCGAAUCGCAUUGCCUUGCGCAGGCGAUAGUUCAUUC
rnacentral:rRNA from 1 species